rnacentral:RNase_P_RNA from 1 species
CAAGAGGACCGGAUGAUUGCCCUGUACCACUCAUUUCGCUCCACUCAUUCGGGUACAGGGGCUUCCCCUCAAUUAUUACGAGGGCUAGCCCCGCACCCAAGCGUAGUGGAACGAAGUGAGUGGUGCGGGGAGGAAAGUCCGAACACCAAUCCAGUCAUUUUGGCUGGUUUAAAGAUGGCACCUUUGAAAUAAAGGCGGGAGUAAAAGAGGAUAGAGAAAGUUCUAUAGACUUUUUCGAUUCUUUUGAAUCCCAGGGAAAGUGUCGCAGAGAAUAUACCGCCCUUCGACUCGCUUGUCAUUACGUUCCAAGCUUUCAGACCCGUUUAUUAAAAUAGGGUAGAAUGGCCAUAAGUGGAGGACGAACGCAGUGAGAAGUGAGUUGAAGGGUAAGGGUGAAAAGAGUGGUCCCGCCUAUGCGCGGGAUAUCCUGCUUCGGCGGGUAAAGUAAGAGACCACAGGCCUAAUCAGUAAUGAUUAGGCGUGAUAAACCCUGUCAGGUGCAAGACCAAGUAGACCCCCACCCUUUGAAAAAGGGUAGGGGGUGGGUAGGUCGCUAGAGCCCGGUGGUGACGCCAGGGCCCAGAUAGAUGAUCAUCCCCCGUACCAUUCACUUCGCUUCGCUCGUUCAGGUACAGGGUGUUUCCUCGAUAAAAGAGCUUGUUGGGGCAAUGCCCUGCACCCAAGUGUAGUGGAACGGAGCGAGUGGUGCAGGGACAGAAUUCGGCUUAUAGGUCUUCUUGAGGC